UGGAUGCAUAAAAAGAUAUAUAGAGAGAGGAAAGAACUCAUGUUUAUAAUAUAAGUAGAGGUGUUCGUGCUUUGCGUGGGAUAUUGUUUUAUUGUUGUUAAGUAUUAUUUUUUUAUGAUGUAAUUAUGUGGUCUUCUUUUUUUUUUUCCUUUUUUUGUCAUCAAUUAUGUGGUCUUCUUUAUUUGAUAAGAACAUAAUUUGGGGUUUUUUUGGUGUCAUGUAGUAGUAAGUGAUAUGUUAAUAUAUUAUGUGUUUUUUUUUCAAUAAUGUGUUGUUGUGGGUGUGUGUGGUAGUACUUAUUAGUGGUGAAGUGAGCUUUUUGAAGUAAGGCCCUGUUCGUUUGGAGAUCACUAGCGUCAGCAACCAACUUCAGCGUCUAAGCAUUGUUCGUUAACCGGUCGAGGGCUCAGCGACAGAUUGCAGCGACCAGGCACUAGCGUUUAACGAUAAAAAUCAUGCGACCCAAAAAAAACUUAAGAAGAAAAAGGUACCCUUAAUAUACUUCCAAAAUCACAACAGAUUGCCACUGAACCUAAUACAAACUCACACCUCCAUCAUCUCUAUCUUCAGUUUCUUUGUUUGAUAGAAAAAGUAUCAUCCUCUCUCUUCGAUCUCUUUCCGGCAACUGAGAAACACUCUCGGUUAUCUCUCUCGUUCAUUUUCUCUCGAUGUCUCUCGUUCGGUCUCUCUCUCUCUUUCUCUCUCUCUCUCUCUCUCUCUCUCUCUCUC
rnacentral:lncRNA from 1 species